rnacentral:SRP_RNA from 1 species
CGUGCUAGACGGGGAGCUAGCGGUGCCCUGAACCCGCAAUCCGCUAUAGCGGGGUUGAAUUCCCGCUCGAGGUCUAGGUGUCGUGGGGACUGCCCCUGAUAAGUGGCGUUGAAGACCCGGCCCUGCGCGGCGAGGCGCUAUGAAUCCCGUCAGGCCCGGAAGGGAGCAGCGGUAAGUAGUUAGCUUCGGGUGCCGUAGGCAAACCGAGUUGGAGUUGGUUGUCAGGGUAAGCCCUUCGGAGCCGGAUCGACAGCGGGUGCACG